CUGACAUGCAGCAGAACCCUGGGCUCUCUACUGGACUAAAUCAUUUCCUGAGUAAAUAUGAAGGGGCUUCUUCAAAGGAGGACGCUCAGCCCCUUGGAGCGAGAGAGGGAGGGGAUCAGGAUGGCUGCAGGGACAGACCAGCCAGAGAAUCCGCCUCACACAUCAGACGACCCGACUUUAGA